CAAAGAUCUACACCAUUAGAUAAAAGGUAAAAAAUGUAACAUGGAGGCAACUGACAUCAUAAUUAAGAGAUUCUUUGAAAGGUAAACAAAAAGUACCACAAAUGAAGUUACAACAAUAGAAGUAAUCAAAUCAUUGUUAGGAAAAAACAUUGUUUCAACUCAAGUUUCCAGCCAUCUCAUGUGUUUUCAGAAACAAACACACUGUUACUUGACUGAUACAAAAACAAAUAAAGCAAUGCACGAAACCAUUAUCUGUAACAGGACACACAAACAUGUGUAAUUAAAAAUGAAUACUGCUCAGAAGACAAUAAAGGCAUGAAAUUCCAAUCCUGAGAUUCCUUGGAAUUUAAAACAGAUACCUAAAUGUUGCAAACAGAUAUAUAUAUAAAACACACUCAUGUGAGCAUGUAAAAUGCAGUAACCAACAGCUAUAUGCUGCAUUCAUUAAUUGAAGCAUUAACAAAUUAAACUAAUACAGCAACAGUACUUCCAAGAACAUGAAAGCAGGCAUGUGUAAUUAAACCUAAAGAACAACCUCAAUACCAUCUUAAUUUAAUCCCGACAUUUUUCGAAUACGCAAACUUGGGAACUUAAAUACCAUCGAUCAACUGACCAAUACCAUCUUAAAUGACUGCCUCAAAUAGCAAUGCAAUUAUCAUAUUCUUAAAAAAAGGUCACAAUUCAAUAUCUUUGCCCUUGAAAUCUCAAACAAAAGCAGCAGAUCUUAACAUACAAACUCCAUUGAGGUGCAUCAAAAAGUCUUAACUCCUCAGAACAUUCUUUUCUCUCUUUCUCGAUUCAAAACUACCAUCCCCUUGUUGCCCUUUUCUCGAGUUCUAUUGCUGCUUAUCAAAAUUCAUAACCAAAACAGAUAAAACAAAAAAAUCCACCCAAAAAAAUUACUAAACCAGCGCCACAAAAUCACAAUUAAACAAACUGUGUUUCCAUCAAAUCUUCCAAAAGAUAAAUUUAAAACCUCCAAAUUUUUUAUAAAAAAAGGAAAAAAAAACUCCAAAUAUUCGAUUCACCAACCCUCAACAUUCAUAUACCUAAGAACCCCACAAAAACCC